CAAGUCAUAGAGAUUAUUCUACAAAACGAUGUGAUGCACUGGUCAAUUCCUAACUCACUAGAGCAGAUGUGUGGUAUUGAUUGGUCUUCUGGCAUCAAAUAUUAACUUUCAUUCGUCCUGCAGGCAGACUGUAAUGUAGGCCUAGGCCACAUUAGAUGACACGCACCGUCUGGGCAUCAUGACUCCACUAUAAGAGACUCAAACUCUGCAGUCAUUGUCUGCGGUCCAACAAGUCAAAGCCACCGCAGGACUUCACACUCCUCCACAGAAACAAUUAUCAAGGACGAAACGAGGCCCAAUUUUGUUUCCCACAAACAGUACUGGUCAAAACCCCUGUUGGCUGUGAUAACAGCUUGCAGUCCAAAAGCCUUCACGCACAGUCAGCCUCGCCAUGAAGCCGCGCGGAGAUAUUGAGGACAGCAUGCGCAGCGGAUGAAAAGCUUUCGCCUGGAUGUGUAUAAUCCUGUCCUCACGACAGUCGUCAGACCACCUCCCAGAUUAUAACUCGAUUGAGGAUCACUUUGUACACUUAGAAUUACAUGAAGAGCGGCGGUGACACGCACAGUUCCUAAACUGCCCUUUUCCUGACUAUUUCUGAAGCACCAAAACAACACGCAGCCUGAAAAAUGCCAGGAUAUGCCGCUUAUUUCCUCUCGGUUUCCACUCAUGCCUGUUGCACUGUGGACGCGCUAGGAGGAGACUUGCAGCUGACAAGCAACAAGCACAUGGUGCGUUAUUAUGAUCCACAAAUAAAGAAGAAACAAAGGCCCUGAAACAAUCACUAUAUUGCAACCAUGUACUGCAGAUGAAAAUCUGUUGCUUCACUCUUCUUAAAAAGAUGUGGAUCAAAGCGGGAAGAACAUGCAGAGUUUCCCAUCCCAUCCGAAAUUGGCAGUAAGAUGGGUUUUGACUUCUGCCCACAAACAAUUUGGCCAAAAAGUGAAGUCAUGGAUAGACAGACUGGCGAUCGCAGCAGCAUUAAGUAACAGAUCUUCCCUCUCGGGGAUUUUCAGACAAAGGCUACCUGACAUGCUGCUGAAACCGUGAAGGAGGUUUUGUCCCCCCUUCGCUGCGUGUUACAGAGCAGGUGAGAAACAUUAACAGCGGCAGCAGCUGCAGCUCCGGCCUUCUGCUCUGCACAUGUGGGCCAGGAUAUGUGCCAGCUAAAGCUUGCCCACUGUCAACACUGGUCACUUUUGUUAACACUCUCCUUUCUGAAUCACACAAACAGUGCUGAGAAAGAAGGGAUACAAUUAUAAUACAAUUAUUAACUUUUUUUUUUACAAUGUAUUGUAUCUACUUACAACCUCACGUCACAUGUAGUUCAACCAGGUAUUUUUUCAUUCAC